UGGGGAAUAUUGGACAAUGGGCGAAAGCCUGAUCCAGCAAUGCCGCGUGAGUGAUGAAGGCCUUAGGGUUGUAAAGCUCUUUUACCCGGGAUGAUAAUGACAGUACCGGGAGAAUAAGCUCCGGCUAACUCCGUGCCAGCAGCCGCGGUAAUACGGAGGGAGCUAGCGUUGUUCGGAAUUACUGGGCGUAAAGCGCACGUAGGCGGCUUUGUAAGUUAGAGGUGAAAGCCUGGAGCUCAACUCCAGAAUUGCCUUUAAGACUGCAUCGCUUGAAUCCAGGAGAGGUGAGUGGAAUUCCGAGUGUAGAGGUGAAAUUCGUAGAUAUUCGGAAGAACACCAGUGGCGAAGGCGGCUCACUGGACUGGUAUUGACGCUGAGGUGCGAAAGCGUGGGGAGCAAACAGG
rnacentral:rRNA from 1 species